rnacentral:rRNA from 1 species
CAAUAGCGUAUAUUAAAGUUGUUGCAGUUAAAAAGCUCGUAGUUGGAUUUCUGUCAAGGACAAGCGGCCCGCUUCUUUGGAGUGUGUGCUCGCGUCGUUUUUGACAUUUUUCUGUUCCAGACCUGCUUUUCUUUAACUGGAAAAGUAGUAGGGGCAGGACAUUUACUUUGAGAAAAUUAGAGUGUUCUAAGCAGGCUAGCGCCUUGAAUACUGCAGCAUGGAAUAAUAAGAUAGGAUUUCAGUCCUAUUUUAUUGGUUCUAAGGACUGAAAUAAUGAUUAAUAGGGACAGUUGGGGGCAUUCGUAUUUAACUGUCAGAGGUGAAAUUCUUAGAUUUGUUAAAGACGAACUACUGCGAAAGCAUUUGCCAAGGAUGUUUNCAUUA